AUCAGGUCCCGUCCGGAAUCGUAGUUCGUUUAGGCAAGGUUCGGAAUGAAAACGGGCCAUUCCAGGCCGUUCCACCCCAUCCUCAGCCCGGAUUCGAUCCGGACCUCAACCCUCCAGGAAUCAUUCCGCGUCGAGGCGGCCUGGCGGCGUGAGAGGCGGAGGUGUCCUGGCGGCGCGAGUUUGGCGGCGGCGGUGGCAACUGCUGCUGGCGGAUUCGGCUCUCUGGCGACGACUCGGUCGCGAGGUGACGACAGCGCGACCUCCUUCUCGCCGGAGGCUCCAAGGUCAAUACUCAAGCUGCUAGAAAGGCAUAGGACAAGGCCAUGGUCUGAGUAUAAGAGGAUUUAUCAUGCUAUUUUUAGUUUUGAGAAUGAGCAUUCUCAGUUUUGUUUAUUUGUUGCUUUGACAAUCUUUCAAACAUGACUCAAUAGGUUUCUUAUGUAAAGACUUGCACCUGGGUGUUUAUCUUCAGUUUGCUUAAGUAUACGGUGAAGAUUCAAAUAUGUACGUGCUCUGCAUAUGCAUGAGAUUGUUCAUUAGUAUUUUGAGCUUACUGGAUUGAUUC